CCUACGGGUGGCAGCAGUGGGGGAUAUUGCACAAUGGGGGAAACCCUGAUGCAGCGACGCCGCGUGGGUGAAGAAGCGCCUCGGCGCGUAAAGCCCUGUCAGCAGGGAAGAAAAUGACGGUACCUGAAGAAGAAGCCCCGGCUAACUACGUGCCAGCAGCCGCGGUAAUACGUAGGGGGCAAGCGUUAUCCGGAUUUACUGGGUGUAGAGGGGGCGCAGACGGCGAUGCAAGCCAGGAGUGAAAGCCCGGGGCCCAACCCCGGGACUGCUUGUGGAACUGGGUGGCGAGAGUGCAGGAGGGGCAGGCGGAAUUCCUGGUGUAGCGGUGAAAUGCGUAGAUAUCAGGAGGAACACCGGUGGCGAAGGCGGCCUGCUGGACUGCAACUGACGUUGAGGCCCGAAAGCGUGGGGAGCAAACAGGAUUAGAUACCCCGGUAGUC
rnacentral:rRNA from 1 species